UGGGGAAUAUUGGACAAUGGGCGAAAGCCUGAUCCAGCCAUGCCGCGUGUGUGAAGAAGGUCUUCGGAUUGUAAAGCACUUUAAGUUGGGAGGAAGGGCAGUAAGCGAAUACCUUGCUGUUUUGACGUUACCGACAGAAUAAGAACCGGCUAACUCUGUGCCAGCAGCCGCGGUAAUACAGAGGGUGCAAGCGUUAAUCGGAAUUACUGGGCGUAAAGCGCGCGUAGGUGGUUCGUUAAGUUGAAUGUGAAAGCCCCGGGCUCAACCUGGGAACUGCAUCCAAAACUGGCGAGCUAGAGUAGGGCAGAGGGUGGUGGAAUUUCCUGUGUAGCGGUGAAAUGCGUAGAUAUAGGAAGGAACACCAGUGGCGAAGGCGACCACCUGGGCUCAUACUGACACUGAGGUGCGAAAGCGUGGGGAGCAAACAGG
rnacentral:rRNA from 1 species